AUGCCACGGCGCUCGCUGAGAACGCCUGAGGCGUCGUCACGUGACGACCCGGGGCUGCGUCGCACCACGCCACGCCUCGCCUCGCCUCGUCACGUCACGUCGCACCCGCUCUCGACGCUGCGCCACGCCCGUGCCGGGGCGGAGAGGCGGGGUUCGGAGGGCGCGGGCGGCGCGCCAGGGCUCGCUCCUCGGGCCGUGUGGCCAGGCCUGGUCCGGCACGUGCGGCCAGCGGCCCACCGACGGACUCCCCGGCCAGCGCGCCCGGGGCUGCUUGGAGCCUGCGGUGGAGCCGCCGCCCUCCCAGAUGCAGCGAUUGUUGUGGGCAGAAAGGUAAGUGGGCCGCGUCAGCACCGCCGCCCGAGCCCGCGCGUGCUGAGGCCUCCCGGAGGAGGUGCAGGCGAGAGGGGAGCAUGUCUGGGUGCGCGGCCUCCAGCCCCGCGCCACCCUGAGUGGCACCUGCCUGCUCGUGCACACGCUGGGAGGCCGCAGGUGACGGCGCAGGCGUUUGGCUGGCACCGCUGUGGGAUAGAUGUCACGCGGGCUCCUGGCUUCAGCCUCACCCAGCUGUGGCUGUCGGGCGUGACCCCGCAGGUGAAAGCCCUCUGUGUCUCCAGACGGCCCCCAGCAGAGCCUCAGCUGUUCAGGACGGUGGUGCCUUUCCUCGAACCAGGCCAGAGCAGGACCUGGGAUCCUGGGGCUGCAGGGACCCUGGCGUGUGCCCGGAGCCAGAUGGCGGGUCGGCCGGGCUGGAGGGCGUGGCGCACUCCCGGCGGCUCCUCUGCGGCGUGGGCAGAUGCAGGGGUAGUCCGCACCGGGUGGGCUGGGUUCCGCUGUCUAACCCGGAGAAGCUCCUGGGGCAGGCGCCUCUGUCUCCAGGCGCCCGUUGCUUCGCUGCUGUCCGGUGUGCACCGUGUUCACCCCUCUGUGCUGUCGACACCCCUUUCUCCUGCUGCCAUUCCUGCUUCCAGAGGAGACCUCCUGUGGCGGUUGUCACUUCUGCCGGCAGACGGAAGGAGUCAGGGGCAGCCGUCCUUGUCACUAAGCGGAACUUACAGCCUCUCAGAGCACAGCCCAAGACGAGACGCGACGCCUGCUUGGCGGCGAGGCUGGCCGUUGCCUUCUCUGAGUAACUGCAGACUCACGGGAAUACCAGCUGGGUCGCGAGCCUUGCUCAUCUCGAGGCUUCCUGAAGGCCCGGCUCAUCUCUGA
rnacentral:lncRNA from 1 species